AGAGUUUGAUCCUGGCUCAGGAUGAACGCUGGCGGCGUGCUUAACACAUGCAAGUCGAACGGGAAUUACUUUAUUGAAACUUCGGUCGAUUUAAUUUAAUUCUAGUGGCGGACGGGUGAGUAACGCGUGGGUAACCUGCCUUAUACAGGGGGAUAACAGUCAGAAAUGGCUGCUAAUACCGCAUAAGCGCACAGAGCUGCAUGGCUCAGUGUGAAAAACUCCGGUGGUAUAAGAUGGACCCGCGUUGGAUUAGCUAGUUGGUGGGGUAACGGCCCACCAAGGCGACGAUCCAUAGCCGGCCUGAGAGGGUGAACGGCCACAUUGGGACUGAGACACGGCCCAGACUCCUACGGGAGGCAGCAGUGGGGAAUAUUGCACAAUGGGGGAAACCCUGAUGCAGCGACGCCGCGUGAGCGAUGAAGUAUUUCGGUAUGUAAAGCUCUAUCAGCAGGGAAGAAAAUGACGGUACCUGACUAAGAAGCACCGGCUAAAUACGUGCCAGCAGCCGCGGUAAUACGUAUGGUGCAAGCGUUAUCCGGAUUUACUGGGUGUAAAGGGAGCGUAGACGGAGUGGCAAGUCUGAUGUGAAAACCCGGGGCUCAACCCCGAGACUGCAUUGGAAACUGUCAAUCUAGAGUACCGGAGAGGUAAGCGGAAUUCCUAGUGUAGCGGUGAAAUGCGUAGAUAUUAGGAGGAACACCAGUGGCGAAGGCGGCUUACUGGACGGUAACUGACGUUGAGGCUCGAAAGCGUGGGGAGCAAACAGGAAUAGAUACCCUGGUAGUCCACGCCGUAAACGAUGA
rnacentral:rRNA from 1 species